UCACACCAGUUACACACCAGUUGCAGCACCUGUGACCUCUGGCUCUGUCCCCAGAAAAUGUGUACUGGUUAAUGAGGCACACCUGGUGGCACUGCCCACCUGCUUCUCAGUAUCAGAUACAGGAUCACAAACAUAAUAGCCAUAGGAGCAAUAGAAGACUUCAGAAUAACCCUUUUUGUAUUACUAUUUUUAAGACUUUUUUGAACAACUUGUUGUAGUGAAGAUGUACAACAAUUUACAUGGCACCAUAUUUAUUAGCACAGAUAAAGAGCAUGUUAUCUUACAUGGGCUAUCCCUGGUGGCAAUUUAAAAAAAGGUAAAGAGGCUGCUGCUGGCUUCCCCUGAGGAGCCAGCCCCCUCAGCAAUCAGUGUCGGUUGCACCACCUGGCACCCUGCCACAGAGCAGCCACUUGGCCUUUUGAAGAGCUUGCUGCCACGUCCCAUGGCAUGAGGUGAGUCACUGCUUUCCUUGUUUUGGGGUAGAAAAGGAGUAAAGACACCCUAUGAAUUGGCUGAGGUGGCAGGGAAGGAGGGUGGGGGUCAGGCAGAGAGCUUAACAGCCCCUGGAGGGUGAGACAGGAGGGCCGCCAUUACAUGGCGAGGCAGGUGGGCCGCCAUUACAGGGGCUGCUAUUACAGAGCAAGGCAGACUUGAUGCUGCUCAUCCUCCUGAGGGCGAGGGCUGAGUUGUACAGCCAUGACAGAAGGCUCAAGGUGGUGUGUGGCUGUAGGGAAGGGUAGGGGACACCUCGGGGCUGCUGGGAGCGGGUCUGGGGGCAGCCUUAGCCCACCAGCGUGGCAGCAGCCAUGUUGCGUCAUGCCACGCGGGCUGCAGGGCUGAGGCCACCUCAGUGGAAGCACAGAGAAGCAAGGUGAGUUUGGGUGCAGCCUUGUUUGUGUCCUUACUGCUAAGGGCACAGGGUGGUACAGCCAGUACAAGAACAUGCUCACUUGGUGUUUUUUGCAUAAAUGUAGUGCAUUUUCCUGUCAGCUUGUGAUGCCUCAUAUGACAUGGUACAGUAAGGUGGGUUGGGGUGGCGUGGAGAAGAACCCUGGAAGCUUUUCUUGGAAAAACAUCUUUGUUUUUCCAGUGAGCUCAAUGUUUUACGAUUAUUAACUUGGUUUAUUUUUUUCAUCCCACAUUAUUUUGAAGAUGAACUGAAAUUACUGGUCUUUACUUCAAUAAAUCUCAAACUUAUCUCAGACUUAUGGAACAAAAUCAUUUGUGUAUUAAGUAGCAUUUUAUGUGCUGACAUGAAUAUGGAGAACUGGUGAAGGAAAAUACAAAUUCUGAUACUUAAUCUCCUUGAAAUCCUGGAAGUAUGGCUGUGGUGUGUUUGAAAUAUCUGCCUCACUAAGGGAAAAUCUUACAUUGUUCAAAUCCACGCUACCUGAUUAGAAUUUAUGACUGUCUAAAAAUGCUUUGUGGCUGAAUUACAGGGCAUGUGUGUAUGUUAAAACUGGUGACUGUGGAAAGUAAGUAACAAUGUUAUACAACUUAAAGAAAGAUGAUCAAAACCAAGAGCUGGUGUGACCAGUGGACUCUAAUACAUGUAAGUAGUUCGAGUGCUUGUCAUCUGUCCACAUGAUCCUAAUGUUGGCAGCCUGUUGAAAGUGAUGCGUGGGAAACUAGUGCAACGUGCUGAUUUAUUUUAUGCUAAUGGGGAAAAGUCCAUAUUGUUCAAAUUAAAUCCUAAAGCAGAAACAAAUCAUCCAGCCAAGCCCAUCCUAUGGAGUUUCAUUGAAACAGUUAGUGGUCUCUUUCGUGACCUCAGAGUUGUAAAAAUUAAACAAUGUUAGGGGGCUGCUGUUUUCAAGUGCUUCUGUCUGCUGAAAGCGGCUGAGAUUCUCCUGCAGAUGGCUAUUUAAGUUAAAAGCCAAAUGGAGAGAUCACAGCAAUUAGUGCACAUUGGCUUCUUACUGCAUCAGAGUGAAUAAUGUGGGAGGUGUGGGCCAGGACUGUGCCUCAGUCUGUGUUUUUUUUUCCCAUCAGAAACUGAGUAUCAACAGUUCUUCUCAAGUUAAGAAAAAAAAAAAAAAGAGGGAGAAUUUCUUGCUGCUUCACUUGAAAAAAAUAAAAGAGAUUAUGCAAAGAUAGACUAAAGUGGGAGGAAAGAAAAAUAUUUCAAAGGGGAGAACAGUCUACUUGAGGGCUCUGACUGGGUCUGUAGUACAAUGUUUCUCCUACUUUUGCUAUGAACUCACUCCCCCUGGGCUCAUUCCAGGGAAUGAAAUUCUCCCACCUUUUUUGUAUGUAGCCUGAGCCAUGGAAAACCAUAAUAGGACUUAGAAUUUUUUUAAUUUUUAUUAUUUUCUUUACUUAGAAUAUCUGAAGGUAAAAAUUAUUUGUCACCUUGAAGAUUUAGAAUUUCAUGGGGGGAAAAUGGAGGGUCGAAGUACUUAUGAAUUCACAUUUUACUUUUUACUGAGGGAACUAUUCUGUGUAAGAACUAUCCAAUACCAUGACACUAGUUUCACUAAAACCAUUACAACAUUAUCCAAUGGGAGGUAACUUUUCCAUCACUCAUGAGUGUUUGUGAAUUUCUCCUUUUCUGGAGGUUUCUAGCUAUCCAGUGGAAUGACUUGGGGCGAUGAGAUUGCGUUAGAAGAUAGUGAUUAGAGAAUUGGUCUGAAUUCAAGUCAAGAAAUGCCUCUGGAGAAUGAUCAAAUACAAACCCAGCACUUUUUCCUUCAGGUCCUUUUCUUAGUGAGCAUGCAAAACAAUGGCAAAAUGUUUCUGUUUCAUGGCCAGUGUUCAAGUAAACAUGCAGCUUUUGCCUCCAGCAGAUGGAAUGAUAUAAGUUUGAUUGCCUUAUGUUAUUGAGUGACUUGUCGUUAGUGUCUAGGGACCAAUAAUCUGUAAAUUAGUGUUUAUUCAAUUGGUGCUGCAGUGAAAAGGUUUAAUCCCUGAAAAUUUAAAAAUGUAGAUUGCUUUCUACACUGCUGUUGUAAUUUCCUUAAAAUGAGGAAUGAGAAGCCUACAACUAAUAAAUCUAGAACAGAGAUAUUGCUGAUGUAGUGUGAGGAGAGACUGGGAAUCAGUUCUCAAUAAUCUUUGAGCAGUCCUGGUGGUUCUUGGAGACUUCUGAGGAAGAAAGCAAUGUCACUCCUAUCAUCAAGAAGAGCAAGGAGGAUCUGGGAAACUACAGAUUGGUCACCCUCACCGUGGGGACCUGAUGGAGCAACUAAUCCUGCAAGCAGUGUCCAAACGUGAGCGGGACAAGGUGGUGAUUGGGAGUAGUCAGCAUGCACUGAAGGGGAAGUCAUCUUUCACCAACCUGAUAGCUUUCUCCAAUGCAAUCACUGACUUGGAGGAGGAGAUGAGAGCAGCGGGUGUUUACCUCAGCUUCAGCAAGGCUGCUGAGACUGUCUCCCAUAGCAUCCUUGUAGACAAGCUGAUGAAGAACAGGCUAAAUAAAUGGACUGGGAGGUGGUUUGAAAAGCGUCUGAACUGCCGGCUCAAAGCGUUGUGAUCAGCAGCGUGAAGUCCAGCUGGAGGCCAGUCAUUAGUGCUGUACCCCGGGGGUCGAUAACUGGGGCUGUGUCAGUGCAGAACAGAAAACUCUGAAACGUGUUCUGCCACUUGAUGGCAGCUGACAACUGCAUAUACAUACGCAAGGUUGUUGAAAGGUCACAGAAACUGAUUUGAUGCCUAAAGGGGCAGCUAAACUACCUCAGAAUUUGGCAAUACGAAUUAUUUCAAGUAAAGGUUACUAGGAUUGCAGGGGGAAGAAAACUUGGUGAAGAGGGAAGUCUCAAGCUGACUGUAAACUCCUGAAAGAAUAGAAUAAAUUGAUGCCAGCCAGCUGUGAGAGCUGCUGACAAAGAAGAGGCCGUGGAGCUGACCCUUGACACUAGCAGUUGCCAUUGCCUGGCAUGAAACCUCCCGUGUUGCUGGCAAUAGAAAGACUGGGAACAACUGCUGGUGCCAGCAGGGGGGUGAGGAGAAGCCAAGCUGAGCAACAAUUCCAUCAGCAUUUAUUUACUCAAAGAUCAGAUGCGAUGCAAACCAAAGCAGGGGACGGGAUAACAGUGUGUACCGACAUGGAGGGGAUUGCACUGCCCAGGAAAGGAAGAUGUUUGGUGACAUGGCUACUUCACAGCUGGGUGGCAACCCAUAGCUAUGGUUUCACAAAACAGUUGUUUUAUAAUGUUGUGAAACUAUUGUGACCAUUUAGUUUUGUUGUUUUUUUUCCUCAUGAAAACUGAAGAUGAAAUCGUGGCCUACCUACUUCUUAACUUUAAUGUGCUUUUCAGCCUUUUUUUCUACAGUCUGUUUUCAUAGAGAAUGGGAGCACCUUCUGUCCCACUGUCCCCUCACCACACACACUGUUUCAUUAUGAAUUUCCAACUAUAUACAUGCAGGUCAAAACCAUAUUACUUACUUCGCCUAGACCAGUGAAGCAUUGUAUUUCUAUAACACUUAUACUACAGCAUCUGUACUGUAACUGAUGCUCUACUAAUAUCAGAGGAAUUUUUAGCAAGCUCCAAUUGAAUUUUAUACUGGAUUAAUACACUAUAGCUUGUAUCUGAACCACAGUGCUUUUGGUGCUAACCUUUUCCUCCAUACUAUCGUUUCAUUUAAUGAUUGUGGGAAGUGUCUUCAUUUGAGGAAAAGAUAUUUGAGGUAUGUGUUCAUGCACAGAUCUAUAUAGAUUUUUGGACUAUGGAAAUUAUUCUCUACAGUACUCUGCAAUUGUAGAAAUACUAAAAUCUUGCAGACAUAUAUGGGCAAUCUUAAAUGAUAAAGAAUCCCAAGUGUGUAGAAACUGUCCUUCAAUUGUGAGCAGAGAAACUACUUGGGAACCCCUUCCUUUCCUUACUAAAUACAUGCUCCAGUAAUUGUUCAAUAUGUUAAUACAAAAUAUGGAAAUUAUGUGGCUAAAUUAACCUUUCUGGAACUUGUUGAAUGGAAGUACUUGAGCAUGCUAACUUAGUGUUGCACGAAUGCAAUUUUUUCAUGCAAUUCAGGAUUAAAAUUCAAUAGUGUAUUCUAAAUGAGUAAUAGAAAAAAGGUUCAAUAAUAAAAGCAAGUAUUCCUAAGGCUCCUGCAUUUUGCAAGGUAGUUAACUAACUUUUAUCCCUUUUCUGUCUUAAGCCUAGCUGACAAGUUUUUAAGUAGCAUUGCUAAUGUGUGCAAAAGGUGAUAGAUAUUGGCAAUGCACUUUGCCUGUCUUGUUUAAGAGGCUGCUACUACUUGUAUGAGUGACUACUGCUACAUCAGGAUAUUUUGCUGUGCAUUCUGGUGGUGUACUUUUAAAUUGUGACAACUGCAAGUUUCAAAUUUUUACAGGAAAAAAUGACCACAACAGUGUUAGUAGUCGGGAAAUCCAAGUAGCCGUUCAUCUCUCCUGAAUGUUUCAACUUCUGCUUACAAAAUACGUAACUUUCUUUUUUCCAUUGUAAGAGAGUCCUCUUGUGAUGAAUAUGUGAAAAUCCAAAUGUCUUCUCCAUCUCUUCAAUCACUUUUUAUUCUUCUUCAUGCUAUGUGGGCUAUCAAAUCUGCUGGGACAUUGGCUUUGAUUCUCUUUACUAUCACUUAAAGUUCUGCCAAGGUUCUUGCUAAAUGUUUCUGGCUAUUGAUAAACUCAGGGUUUUUUUACAUGCCCUGUUGGGAUAAUGCUAACUAGUUUGUGUUUGUUUUUUGUUUUUUGUUUGUUUGUUUGUUUUCCUCUAGUGGUCCAUAGCCUGACAGUGCAGGGAUGCUAGUGGAACAGGAUGAUUUAGAGGCUGUGGAUGGGGUGGUUGGUUGCAGGUUCAUAACUGUGUUCUGAAGACUUCUGAUUUCAGCAGAACUGCUUCUGAACAGUUUGACACUUUGUGUGUCAAGCAUGGUUUGCUAUAAGAUCAUAGUUGGAGUGCUCAGUAUAUGAGAGUGUCAAGUCCUUCAUCUCUCCCAAAGUCCACUGAAGAGUCUCCUGUUGAUGUCAGUGAAUUUUUGAUUAAGUCUUUAUAUGCAACUGAAUGUCCUCCGUGUAAACAGGUUAAUGGCAUUCACUGAGGAGAUGGGCAUGUCCUUAAACACAUAUGUCUGCUGGCUCUUUGGUAGGCGUCUGUUCUAGAGACGAGAAAACCUCCUGAAUGGAGAUCCCGGUUGGUACAGCUUUAGCAGCUCUGAGACUUCAUCCUUCCUGACUCUACACUUGCCGUGGGACUGGAGCUGCGUGGUACCGGGCCCCGUGGCUUGUGCACAGUUGGAUGUUGUUAGUCCCCAUGAGCUAAAUUCCCUGGCAAAAGUCCAGUGAAGAAUAAUGGUGUAGGGUGGGGGGAAUUCAGGACAGGGCAAGCCAAAUACAGUUGAGACAACUCUAGCUAAGCCAGAAAAUAGUUCUGAGCUUCAUUUGGGGUCUAUGCUCCAGUAGAUGAAGAGGCAAGCAUGGUAAAGGACCCAUGAAAUGAGCUAGUAAAGUCAGGCAUCUUCUCACCAGUCCUUCCAUCCUGAGACAAGGUAACUUUCAGCUCUGUAGCAAAACUACUUGUUGAAGGGUUGCAAAGUCGGUAGGACUCACAUGGAAAUGCUCAACCUCUGUAAUGAGAUGGUGGAAGUGUGGUACAGAGGGAUGCACACACAGCAUGGUGUGUUUGCUGCUUUCACUUUGUGCUCCUUGUCCCAGAAAUCAGUACAGGUUUUAGCUUUAAAUACUUGAGCUGCUUGCUUGGAAACUUGUUAGAUGUUUUACAUUUUCAUCUUCUUUUGCUAAUCAGCGAGAAAAAGGAAAGAGCUAGAGCUGUUUUUUCAGUUGCAGAUUACUGAGGUGUGCUUUGCAAACUGCCUUUUGAGGAAUGAGCUGUAUGACUAUGUUGCUGCUGUAAGUUUAUGCAUUUUUAGAUCAGAGAAAUGUGUGGUGCUGGGCAGUGUACCACAGUCAUCAAAACAACAGCCAUUACAAAAAGUCCUAAGCAAGCAAAAUGCAAACUUGAAACCCCAGUUGGAAGCAUCUAUCAAUAGACCACACCAAGCCCAGCCUAAGCCUGAAGCAAAAACAAAUUAGAACACUCAUCUUUCUUGAAAUCCUAUGAACAUAUUCUUAAAGUUUCCCAUGAGGUUUCGGAAAGCCAUUUUGUUACAAAUAAUUUGAAAAAAGUUUAGAUUUUCAAUGCUGUUUUUAGCCUAUCAGACAAGUACAAGCCUACGAUUGGCUACCACCCAAAGUCAGAUCAUCUAUAACUUGCCCACUAGGUUCUUGUUAUGGUGUUCCUUGGAGUAAAAUGUAAGUUUAGAUACUCCUUUGCAUGUCUGCUAUUGCAUCCAGAGUGCUACAGAGACUUAAACUGCAAAAAUUAGCACUUCAACAAGCAGUAUCUGCAGGCUGGGGAUACAUAAUAGCUUGCAAAACUCGUUUUCUGCAGGAAGCCCUGCUGUGGAUGAGUUAUUAAUCUCACGCACGUCUAUCCCUUCGUGUCAGAACACCCAGUGCUGUGCAUUAGCUGCAGACAAAAGAUUCACUCCUGACAAGUUUUCUACCAGCUCCUGGUAACUGAAGGAAGAGGCCGCCCUGUUCUCCCUGAGUGGGUUGCCAUGUCCCCAGCUGAGGUGGGCUGUGUAAAUACAAAGACAGAGGAGCAGCAUUUGAACUGGCUAGUCUUACUAGAUGCUAGCGAAAGGAAGGACCUCCAAAGAGAUGUUUUGUUGCCUAGGGAUUUGAUGGUUUGCAGUGUAUACAUUUUUAAAUAGUCUUAGUAUGCUUCAGAGAAUGUCAUUUUAGAUGGGAUAAUAAUCCUAAUGGGAUUAUUUACUACUUUGAAUUGUAUUUAGGCUUUAAAUUGCAGUAAUUUGGUUUUCAGUUCAUGUAAUCAUUCUUGAUAAGUGAUAUUCAUUGUGUUUAUGUGUUCCUGAGCCACUGUAAGUAGCAGUGAAUUCCCCAACUGAGAAAGGGAAAUACUGUUUUAGAUUCUAACAUUUGUUAGAGCGGAAAAGCAUUUCCUAUCCAAUUACAUGGACAUUUUGAAGGGAGUUUUUCUUAUCAGACAUUCCCAUUGAGAAGGAAGAAUGAAGUCAAGACAGUAACAGCAAAGCUAUUGCGGGUUCCUGAGUCAGGUCCCUUGGGGCAGGAGUCCAAGUGAAGUUUGUGACUUGAUGAAUGUGACAGAUUUCAGGCCAUAAGAGCCUGGUAGUAUCAACAGUACAGGAGAGGAAGUGAAUUUAGCCAGAAAAGAGAUUACAGAUAUGCAAGAAGUAAUACGAUGGGAAAAGCACUUCCUUUUCAAGCAGUCGGUGCAGUCAGUACCUGUCAGCAUCUGAACCUCCUGGUCAGUUAUCAUACAGUCUGCUCCAUAAACUCUGCUCACGUGCAGCUGGAGCAUCUUUCUCUUCUAAAAUGGUGUAAAACCUCGAAGCAUUUGCCAUGGUUUUAAGUGAAUCACUUGGCAUGCAUAAGGGCCUAAAUCAGAAUGAUAAAUGGCAAGGAAAUAUUUAAAACUGGGAAGCAAAGCUGCUGUGUAAUUACUGUAUGGGAGGUGUGUUUGUCUGCCUGGGUGGUUGCUCCUGUGUGGCAAUGUAGCAAGGUAAUCUUUCCUCUUUGCCUUUCAUUAAUUGCUAAUGAACUGAAGAAAUUCACCAAAAGCUCAUAACAGCAGAACUAAGGAAGCAGUGCUCUGCAAAGGAAAAGCGCUGGCAGUAGAGAGGCCUGUUGCCAAAGAACAGAAAUGUUUAUCACAGUUCAGUAGUAUUUCUCUUCAGGAAUCGGUAAUGUUUGUUGUAAUCAUCACUCAGCCUGCAGAAUUUGUACAAGCUAGGAAGGAAAAAAAAAUCCUAAUUUAUUCAAUGAUAAAAGGACGCUUUUUAUAUGAGCUGUAUUUAGAUAGGAGUUAAAUUAUUCCAUAUUCCUUGAAAUCAACAAAUACCUGUCAUCGCUUAUUUCAGAUAACAGGUGUUUUAAAGCUAAUUUAUUACAUAAAAUGAUGUAUCAGAUGUGUACGAUAAAGGAUAAAGUUUGCCUACUCAUUUGCUACAGUUAGACGAAAUUUGUGAGUGGUAUUUCCAGUGUGAUUACAAAUUAAAAAAAAAAAAAAAAAAAUACAUCCAAAGAUGUAACAAAUAAUGUUUGUUCAAAAAGGUGAAUAACUUUGUUUUCAUUCAAGGUUUACUGUGACUCUUUUUGAAAAAAAAUGAGCCUAUUAACUUUUCCAUGUGUCAUGCAGAGCCUUGCUUAGAGAACUGCCAUCCUGAAGAUGUGUCAUGAUCUGUUACUCCAGUUGUUGUCAUCAGUUCAAAGGCACUUUCCAUUUUACUAGUGAGGAAGGUGUCUGAGCACGCCUCUGUUGAUUCAUAUUUCAUGUUACAUUCACCAUCACAAGCUGUCAAGGAGAUGCAAGAGGUAUCUUUGUUCAGUCUAUAACAGACUGAAAAGAAGUCCUCAGGAAGAAAAAUCUGAGGAUGUUAAUACUGACUCUUCUACCACUUGAGCCAAACUGUGACACUAUAUGUAUGAAAACACUGCCUUUGUCUCAAGCGAAUCUUCCAAAAAUUUGUUGUUAGCUUAAUAAAGCAGACACCUCCUAACUAUUGAAAAACUGAGCUAGGAAUUUAACACAUAACAGCAAAAGGCAAAUUCACUGGGCUGUGUCCACAAAAGCAUAUGGCUGGGUCUGCAAGUGUUUCUUCAAUGCUUAUUGACCCUGUGCAGUAUCCUGUGAACGUGGUUUCCAAAUCUGUGCUUCCUCUUGCUGGCAGGUUGUGUGACCUCAGAGCGUACCUUUGUGUACUCAUGGCUCUGUGGUUAGUCUGUGCAGCAGUUAGUGAGCUUCUCUCUGUCCUUACAGCGUCUGUGCACGUGAGGCUUGCUUCAGUCUGUCACUGAUGCUCAGUUCACACAGGAGCGAAGGUAGUCUGGAUUCCAAAUGGUAGAGAGUCUGUGUUUCCAUAGUGUUUUUGCAAUGUAUUGCUAAAAAAAACUUCCACUUAAGACAGGAAAUGCAAAGGGAUUUCAAUUUUUUUUCUACAUCCUGUUUAUAAGCAAGCAUUAAGUAUGCUUAUAGGGGCACGCUGCAGCUAGAAGGGAAAAGCUCAAUACCCGUGAUUUUAAUCCCAGAGGAACCCUCUGAGAAUAACCAUGCAUAUUGAAUACAUUAAAUGACAACCAGCUCUCAGUGUACCUGUGUGAAAGUGAUGUCGCAAGUUAUUUCUGACCGUGUUCUUUUUUCUCUUUUUAGGAUUUACUGUGUGAGGCCAUUGUCCUACAAAGUUUUCUGGAGAUAAAGUCUUCUAGAGGGACACUCUGAGAAAUGUCAGUCAUUCCUGAAUGAUUACUGGCUCAGAUUUCCAUCCUAAGCUUUCAUCCAUCACACAGAACAGAGCAAUCUGUCAGCCUGUUCACAGGAGACAAAAAGGUCUCUUGGAAUUCAGAAGGAUGAAAAGAUGAAAUCCUCAUAAUUGGGUUGGAUUUAGAAAUGGAAGACAAGGUAAUGCAACCUGUGCACACCAGCCCUCCACCACAAGCUGCAGUAAUGGAAUUGGCUCCAGUGAAAUGUGAACCGCAACAUGCUUGUUCCUUUAACGCCCUCUCUAACAACAUCAAACAGGGGAGAGAAAAAAAAAACAGGGAAUAUGUUAAAGAGUCAGCCAUUUCGACUGAACUGGGCUUGGAUUUCGCUGGAGAGGGAGUACUACGUCAUGGAUGAGAACUAGAAAUUUCUGGAAGUGACCAUAAGAUGCAGAGGAUAUCUGGGAGAAACCUCUUUUAUCAUAUCUACUGCAUAUAUUCCUCAAGUGGCAUGCAGAGUAGAGGUGGACUGCUAAUUCCUCUUAGAAGAUCUGGUGAUGUCAUUCAACAAUUGAUGGUCAUUUGUUCUGCACUCCAAGGUUCAGCUGCUGGUACUGUACCAUCUACUGUCUUGUCUUUUUCUGACUACAUCUCACAUCCUGGAGGUCAUUCCAGUGUUGUUUAUUUUAAUAAGAAUGAGACUGAGAAAAGCUGUCAUAUUAUCAUUAUUGAUGACUCCCUUUAUGAGGAAGAUGAGACCUUCAAUAUUUCCUGAGCAUGCCACGAGGAGGCCAAGUUGGCACUGAAUUCCUGAGCACUGAAGUAAUUAAUAAUCUUGGUUGACAUAGAUGAUGGAAUAUCAGUGUUCUGUUCUGUCAUCAGUAUCUGCUGACCAUCCUAGCCUUGCAUUUACACCGUUAGGAAGCGAGCCGACCUUCCAUCAGCCUGUGCAGCAGUGGAGUUUUAUCUCUGAUUUUGCUGUCAGUGACCCAGUGGCCGCAGAGUUCAAUCUAAAUACUCAGAUGCUUCUGCUGUCUAAAAAGGAGCUUUGGAUAUCUGACGGGUCAAAGGGAUGGAGCUGAUGAAGCUUUUACAGAAGGAUGUGAAAUCUGUGGCUGAGUGAUGGUGGAUCCUAUUCAGAACCUCGGUGACUCCUUCAGCUGCACCAUCGAGGUGUUCCUUGGCACUGGUGCCAAUGGGUGCGUGCCCAAGCACAGCUCAGACAACCAAGAACAUGGGUGUCUGGCUGACUCACCCUCACUCAUGUACAGAGUGAAGAUCCUGGAUAAAGCUCAACCUGAGACACAAACAAGAGCCUUUGGAAACCUGGAGUUUCGUGCUACAUUAAGCAGCUGACCACACAGAUUUUUUUCCUCUAGUAAAACGGCCUGGUUCUGAUGGCUUCAGCGUGUCGUCUGCUCCACUCUUCCAGCACAGAAACAAUGACACCAAGGCUUCAUAACACUGGACCUCUUCUUUUGCUGCCUUGCUGUUACUGCAGGUGUUACUGUGAGCAGGUAUUGGGGGUUAGAAAAAAAUUAGAAAUAAACUGAGUUUUCUUGCAAUGGGAAAAAAAGAAAUAAUUAGUUUGUAUAUGAUAGGAAAUAAAACUGUGCACCAUGCUUUUUGCAGAUGAAUUCAAUUU